UACGUAGGGUGCAAGCGUUAAUCGGAAUUACUGGGCGUAAAGCGUGCGCAGGCGGUUUUUGUAAGUCUGUCGUGAAAUCCCCGGGCUCAACCUGGGAAUUGCGAUGGAGACUGCAAGGCUAGAAUCUGGCAGAGGGGGGGUAGAAUUCCACGUGUAGCAGUGAAAUGCGUGAGAGAUGUGGAGGAACACCGAUGGCGAAGGCAGCCCCCUGGGUCAAGAUUGACGCUC
rnacentral:rRNA from 1 species